rnacentral:rRNA from 1 species
CGAUGAUACGCGAGGAACCUUACCAGGGCUUGACAUACACUGGAAUGGGCGUGAAAGCGUCCAGCCCUCGGGGCCGGUGUACAGGUGCUGCAUGGCUGUCGUCAGCUCGUGCUGUGAAGUGUUGGGUUAAGUCCCCGCAACGAGCGCAACCCCUGCUAUCUGUUGCCAGCAAGUAAUGUUGGGACUCAGAUGGAACUGCCGGUGACAAACCGGAGGAAGGUGGGGACGACGUCAAGUCAUCAUGGCCCUUACGGCCUGGGCUACACACGUGCUACAAUGGUCGGUACAAAGGGUUGCCAAGCCGCGAGGUGGAGCUAAUACCCAUAAAACCGAUCGUAGUCCGGAUCGCAGUCUGCAACUCGACUGCGUGAAGUCGGAAUCGCUAGUAAUCGUGAAUCAGAAUGUCACGGUGAAUACGUUCCCGGGCCUU